rnacentral:misc_RNA from 1 species
GGAUGAAGAACGCAGCGAAAUGCGAUACUUGGUGUGAAUUGCAGAAUCCCGCGAAUCAUCGAGUUUUUGAACACAAGUUGCGCCCGAAGCCAUUCGGCCGAGGGCACGUCUGCCUGGGUGUCACGCAUCGUUGCCCCCCCAAACUCCGGUUCGGGCGGGGCGGAAGUUGGCCUCCCGUGCGUGCCUGCGCGCGCGGUUAGCCCAAAAGCGAGUCCUCGGCGAUGAGCGCCACGACAAUCGGUGGUUUUUUUACCCUCGUUCCUCGUCGUGCGUGCCCCGUCGCCCGAACGCGCUCUUGCAACCCUUACGCGUCGCCUCGGUGGCGCUCCCAACUCGACCCCAGGUCAGGCGGGACUACCCGCUGAGUUUAAGCAUAUCAAUAAGCGGAGGA